rnacentral:rRNA from 1 species
AGUGAACGCUGGCGGCAGGCCUAACACAUGCAAGUCGAGCGGCAGCGCGUCCGACCACCCUCGGGUGGUCGGAUGGCGGCGAGCGGCGGACGGGUGAGGAAUGCAUCGGAAUCUGCCUCGUUGUGGGGGAUAACGUAGGGAAACUUACGCUAAUACCGCAUACGACCUACGGGUGAAAGUGGGGGACCUUCGGGCCUCACGCGAUGAGAUGAGCCGAUGCCGGAUUAGCUAGUUGGCGGGGUAAAGGCCCACCAAGGCGACGAUCCGUAGCUGGUCUGAGAGGAUGAUCAGCCACACUGGAACUGAGACACGGUCCAGACUCCUACGGGAGGCAGCAGUGGGGAAUAUUGGACAAUGGGGGCAACCCUGAUCCAGCCAUGCCGCGUGUGUGAAGAAGGCCUU